UACGUAGGGGGCUAGCGUUGUCCGGAUUUAUUGGGCGUAAAGAGCGUGUAGGCGGCCAGGUAGGUCUGGUGUGAAAACUCGAGGCUUAACCUCGAGAUGUCAUCGGAAACCAUCUGGCUAGAGUCCGGGAAGAGGAGAGUGGAAUUCCUGGUGUAGCGGUGAAAUGCGCAGAUAUCAGGAGGAACACCGGUGGCGAAGGCGGAUCUCGUGGGCCGGUACUGACGCUGAGGAGCGAAAGCGUGGGUAGCAAACAGG
rnacentral:rRNA from 1 species